AAAGCUUUAAGUUAAACAAACUAUUAACCUUCAAAGUUAAAUAUAAGAAAUCACUCUUAAGCUUUA
rnacentral:tRNA from 1 species